CGCGUAGGCGGUCUGUUAAGUUCGGUGUGAAAGCCCCCGGCUUACCCGGGGAACUGCGCCGGAAACCGACAGACUCGAGUACCGGAGAGGAGGGUGGAAUUCCUGGUGUAGCGGUGAAAUGCGUAGAUAUCAGGAGGAACACCGGUGGCGAAGGCGGCCCUCUGGACGGAUACUGACGCUGAGGCGCGAAAGCGUGGGGAUCAAACA
rnacentral:rRNA from 1 species